AUUGAACGCUGGCGGCAUGCUUUACACAUGCAAGUCGAACGGUAACAGGCCGCAAGGUGCUGACGAGUGGCGAACGGGUGAGUAAUGCAUCGGAACGUGCCCAGUCGUGGGGGAUAACGCAGCGAAAGCUGUGCUAAUACCGCAUACGAUCUAUGGAUGAAAGCGGGGGACCGUAAGGCCUCGCGCGAUUGGAGCGGCCGAUGUCAGAUUAGGUGGUUGGUGGGGUAAAGGCCCACCAAGCCAACGAUCUGUAGCUGGUCUGAGAGGACGACCAGCCACACUGGGACUGAGACACGGCCCAGAUUCCUACGGGAGGCAGCAGUGGGGAAUUUUGGACAAUGGGCGCAAGCCUAAUCCAGCAAUGCCGCGUGCAGGAAGAAGGCCUUCGGGUUGUAAACUGCUUUUGUACGGAACGAAACGGUCUGGGUUAAUACCUCGGGCUAAUGACGGUACCGUAAGAAUAAGCACCGGCUAACUACGUGCCAGCAGCCGCCGUAAAAC
rnacentral:rRNA from 1 species